UACGUAGGGUGCAAGCGUUAAUCGGAAUUACUGGGCGUAAAGCGUGCGCAGGCGGUUUGUAAGUUUGUCGUGAAAGCCCCGGGCUCAACCUGGGAAUGGCGAUGAAGACUGCAAGGCUUGAAUCUGGCAGAGGGGGUAGAAUUCCACGUGUAGCAGGUGAAAUGCGUAGAGAUGUGGAGGAACACCGAUGGCGAAGGCAGCCCCUGGGUCAAGAUUGACGCUCAUGCACGAAAGCGUGGGGAGCAAACAGG
rnacentral:rRNA from 1 species